GACUACAUUCCGUGGCGGAAGGACACGUUACAUAAAAGUCUCGGCGUGAACGCUCUGCGCAGGCCAAUGAGGAAGUGGCGAGGCGGCGAGGCAGCGGGGCCCGCCCCGGGAGCUCCGGGGACCUCCCUCCCAGACCCCCGGGCGCCGGGGCCACCACUGUCGCUGCCAGCUUGGAGUGCUGGACGAGGGCUCUUCUCUUGACCCUCGGCCCAGGCUGCCCCAGCUGUCCUGGCCUAACCGGGCAGUGCGAGAUUUAUGGAUCCUCGGCAGCAUUCCCCCAGCCCUGUCCUGCGACUCCCCAUCCCUCCGGGUGCCCGCCCCAGCACACACCUCGGAAACCGUGCCGCACAGGCAGUUAGGGAGCCCGAGAUGGGAUCAGGAGGUAUUUUCCGACUUUCCGAGGGCUAGUCAACAAUCAAUGAUGAAGGCAGUUUAUCAAUGAAACAGCUGUUAAUUCUUGCCUUCAUGAAGCCAAGUUUUGAGAACAGAUACAACGCUGCCUCAUUAAAAAUCGUUAAGACCAUA